UACGGAGGAGGCAAGCGUUAUCCGGAAUUAUUGGGCGUAAAGCGUCCGCAGGUGGCUAUUCAAGUCUGCGGUCAAAGACUGGGGCUUAACCCUGGAAAGGCCGUGGAAACUGAAGAGCUAGAGUGCAGUAGGGGUAGAGGGAAUUUCCGGUGGAGCGGUGAAAUGCGUAGAGAUCGGAAAGAACACCAACGGCGAAAGCACUCUGCUGGGCCGACACUGACACUGAGAGACGAAAGCUAGGGGAGCGAAUGGG
rnacentral:rRNA from 1 species